UACGGGGGGGGCAAGCGUUGUUCGGAAUUACUGGGCGUAAAGGGCUCGUAGGCGGCCAACUAAGUCAGACGUGAAAUCCCUCGGCUUAACCGGGGAACUGCGUCUGAUACUGGAUGGCUUGAGGUUGGGAGAGGGAUGCGGAAUUCCAGGUGUAGCGGUGAAAUGCGUAGAUAUCUGGAGGAACACCGGUGGCGAAGGCGGCAUCCUGGACCAAUUCUGACGCUGAGGAGCGAAAGCCAGGGGGAGCAAAC
rnacentral:rRNA from 1 species